CCUUUUUCUCAUCAGGUCAAAGCUGGAGUUUCAAAUGUUUGCAGAGCAUUUAAAUAUCUUUCAGGAGCAAUACCCAGCAGCAAUCCAUCCACAUAUCUGGCCUACUUAACAAAUGAAGAAACUGAGGCAAAAAGGUGAAAGCGGUAUUCGUUGAGGACAAAAAUCAAAUGAGAAAAAUAAAGAAACUAUACACAACACAUGACAACAUGGAAGAAAGAUACACGCUCCUCUUCACUUCCACUUUUUAUCCAAAGCCUCCUGAAAUUCCCUGACUUCAACAGAUUUUGGGUAUUGACUGCAUCAUGGUGUGAGAAAUUGUCUUCUUUCUGGAUGAAGCUGAAGCAGAAGCCUCUCCUUUAUUCACGUCCCACAUCACUGGAAAGCAGGAAGCUGAACCUACGUGCAGAGGGAACGUUAUAUUUAUGCCCCACAGAAUUGCUCAGCAACACUGGAAACCCCCCUCAGCUAUUUUGGUUCUGAAGACUGAAAAAAACACCCCAAAUCAAACCUUAGCUUUUUUGUUAAUAACUCAGUUGGACUCCUCCAUGGCUGAAGUGAUAGAGACAAUUGCAUUUCAUGGAAGUCCCAGGCAGCUGUCUAUCCUGGAGCAUUUUCUGUCCUCUGCAAAGCUGGUGAGGCUUCUCUGCCUGUGCAUUUGAACCUCACUUCACAGGACAAGAAACAACAGCAGCUGCAUUACAGAGUGUGCAUUAGAAAACACACACUUCAUCUGUAUGGAAUCCAAACUUGGGCACCCAAAAUAGCUUCUGUAGGCAAUUUAAUUUAAACUUUUCCAAUAUAACUUGUAUUCAGUUUUGUUUUCAAUCUGACUUACAAGACAUGAGAGCUCUGUAAUACUGCAUAUGGAUUUCUUUUAUGAACUGAAUUAACAAUUUUGAGCAGGAGGUCCUGGUGCUGUGCUGUUCCAUUUGUGUCACUUUCUAGGUACAUUUAUAAGAAACUGUAUCAUAUAUAUUUAAUGAAGUGUAUUCUGUAUUGCAUUAGGUAGCAUUACAACACACCACCACGUUAAAGCUAUCUAAAUCCCACCUUAGGAGACAGCAAUAAAAAGAAGUUAAAUGACAUUACUCCUUAAGGUAGAAAGAAUUUACUUCUUUGCACACAACUUCAAAGGUUUCACUGUGGGUGAGAAAGAAAUCAUUACAAGGAGUGGCCAAAGGCCUGAGACAGUGGUCUGAAGCAGAAAAAAACAGUCAGGACAUAAAGAACACGCAAAAAUAAAUAAACUGAAUAAAGAAGAGUAAGCCUCUUGAAUGGUAAACCUCUUAGUCAGGCCUUUAUAGAAGGCAUGGGCUGGGGCGGGGGGAAACUGGGAAGGCUGAAAUGAAGAGGUCCACAUUACUGAAAACUGGAAAGGACCACCACACAGGAAAUGGAGAGAUGGAAAAGGAAUGGUUUGUAAGGAACAGAAAUGGGAAGAAAUAGCAAUAAGGGGAGAGGUAGAGCACUCAAGGAGAUUGUAGUGGAAUAGAAUAUCUCCUGUAAAUCCCUCAAAACUGUAGAUGCCAUCUGCAGUAAUAUAGGCCAUCUAAAACCAAUUAUGAUUGCUAUGUACAUUUCCUUAUCUUUAUCACUGUGUUAAAUAUCAUUCAGUAAGGAAUAUGAGUAAGUCUGACUUAGUAUAAGAAUGAAAUAUCUGAGGGAGGAAAUUUUAGUAGAAUGUGGUUCAAUGUCAAAAAAGAAUCAGCAAUGCAAAUCAGACGAUGUGAUAACUGGGGAAUGCUAGAAGGAAACUGCAUGAGAAUCUCAGACAUCCUGUCAUUUCUGGAAAACGUGAUCAACAGAAGAUGAGUAUUAUAUUCAUUAAAAAAAAAAGAAUAGUAGAUAGUAACAGGUAUAUCUUCUUUAAUUGGAAUGGCACAUGAAGCACAAGAGAAGGAGGAUGUAAUGCUCUGUAGUGAAAUGAGUGCAGCUGACAGUCACAGAGAUAUCAACAGCAGAUUGUAGAAGUGCCAAACGGAAGAUUACACAGCAUUUUUUGGCACACAAUUGUGAACAGAAUCACUAGGAAGCAUAUAGUCAUAGUCCAGUAGCAGAGUUAGCAAGAGAUUUCAACAAAUGUUUAUAUUGACCUGAAGGCCCUUAGCAAUGCUGUAAUGAAACCUGGACCAAUUCAUCUGGUAUCUUCCUAGAACAUGAAAUUUGAGGCAGAUAAAAUUCAAAUUGGAUCAUUAGAUUAACACAAAUUGGAACGUUUUAGAGAUACUGGUCUUGCAGUAUGUAGAGAAACUACCGUCUUUCAAAAUGUAAUUGUUCAAUUCAGAUUAAAUAAUCACCUUUACGCAGGUCCACACUUCACAUGGUGCAGAGCCAACACUAAUUAUUUUGCAGAAGUUUAGAUUGAAAUGGGGGCAAAUGCCUUCUAUUAUGAUGGACUUGACUUGUAUCCUGAUAGAAGGAUCUGUUUGGUUGCUCUGAUCCACAAAUUCAGAAGUCUGAACCAUCCUGCUUGGAAAAACAAGGCUUGAGAAAAUGGAAAGUUAUUGGACUUGUACCUUUUUGGCUGCUUUAUUUAAUUCUGAAAGCCAAAGAAAAGAGAGAAUGCAAGACUAAUCAAAAGGAGCACAAACAAGAGUAAUGAGAAAAUAAAACUGAACUGUAUAGCUAGAAGAAGAAACAAAUGUAAAUCAAGGCGGGGAAGCCCUUUUUUAUUCGAUAGAGAGCCAAAUAAACAUAAAGAAGAAUCUUUGCCUGUUCAGAGAUUAAGAAAGUUUUACCCCAUAGCCCAGCCUUUCCAAGAUAACUUCAGUGCUGUUAUCAAAUUCUGACCUUAUCAUUACUGUCAAUUACUAGUUCUUUGUCACUAUGUAAAUAUAAUGUGAAAGCACCUGUUUUAAGUACAACAAUAUAUAGUUAUGUUGGGUUUGUGUGGCAAGAUUUUGGUAGUGGGGAGACUGGAGAGGUGGCUUCUGUGAGAAGCUGCUAGAAGCUUCCCCCAUGUCUGAUAGAGCCAAUGCCAGCCGGCUCCAAGAUGGACCCGCUGCUGGCCAAGGCUGAGUCCACCAGCGACGGUGGUAGCACCUCUGGAAUAACAGAGUUAAGAAGGGGGGGGAAAAAAGACCUGUGUAGGAACCUGCAGCUGGAGACUGAGAAUAUGUGAGAGAGACAAUUCUGCAGACACCAAGGUCAGUGCAGAAGGAGGGGGAGGAGGAGCUCCAGGCACCAGAACAAAGAUUCCCCUGCAGCCCAUGGAGAAGACCAUGGUGAGGAAAGCUGUACCCCUGCAGCCCAUGGAGGUUGAUGGUCGAGCAGAUAUCCACCUACAGCCUGUGGAGGACCUCACACUGCAGCAGGCAGAUGCCUGAAGGAAGCUGUGACCCCAUGGGAAGCCCACACUGGAACAGGCUCCUGGCAGGACCUGUGGCCCUGUGGAGAAAGAAGCCCACGCUGGAGCAGGUUUGCUGGCAGGACUUGUGACCCCGUGGGGGACCCACACUGGAGCAGUCUGCUCCUGAAGGUCUGCACCCUGUGGAAGGGACCCACGCUGGAGCAGUUCAUGAAGAACUGCAGCCUGUGGGAAGGACCCAUGUUGGAGA